CCUUAUCUUUAUACGUCUAUGACGAAAUUUUUACCUUGCUUUUUAUUGAUCCUUUGACUAUAGAAAAUUUCGAUAGAAAAGUCAAAGAUUGAUUCAUAUAAUCGUAUUGAUAAUGACCUUUCACAUUUACUUCGCAUUAUUUACCACGUAUUGAAGAUUGAAAUUUGACUAAAUCAAAAGGAACUAAAAUUUCCUUGUUCUGAUUGGUCAGAUUUCAAUCUCACUACGUAGCCUGAUAUGGGUUUUGCGCUUUUGAGCGUUUUUGAUUGGUUCCGAUUCAUCACUCGAUUGAAAUUUUCUUCGGAAAGUAAAAUUUUCGCGCGGUUCGACGCGCGUAGAGACCGGGUCUUCAUUGUAAUUCAUUGUAGAGUUUAUGUAAUUUAAUUGAACUUAUUUAAUUUGUCAGAAUAUUAAUUUACUUUAAGGAUGGUCUAUAAUAACAAACAUAAAAUUGUUUUACAAACUAUUAUGCACAAAGGCGCUUUAAGUGAAAAUGACGAAAAGGAAUUAAUAAUGAAGUUAUUUGAUCACAGCAAUAUAACACGAAUAAUAAGCGAGAUAAAUGCAAAAUUACAACCAUUAUGUAUGACAAUAAAAUGUACAAAUUGUGAAAUCACCGGUCAACUAUAUUGGAUUUUUGCAAGUAUAGUACAAGAUAAAACUGCUAGUUUUGAUUCUGAAUUUACUCAAGCUGAAUUAGCUCUUUUGCGUAACGUAUAUUCUGAAAUUGUUACUUCUGAUAAUAACUGUGUAUCGAGUACAUGGUGCCUUAAUUUAUGUUCGUCGUUGAAUCUGAAACUAAGCAAUGCUAAUGCUGAACAAUUUUUACAUGAAAUGAUCAACAGGAAAUGGUUGUUUUGUAAGAAUGGCAAAUACUAUGUGGGAGUAAGAAGCAUUGCAGAGCUGUGUCAAUAUUUUAAGAAUACAUAUGAAGAUAGUCUUUGGACUUGCACUUUAUGCAAACAAAUUUUAUUUUAUGGAAGGGUGAAAAGUGUGACAAAUGUGAUACAACUACACAUAUUUAUUGCUUAAAAGAUUACACAAAAACUCACAGUGGCCUGGGAUGUCCUAAUUGUCAUUAUUCUGUCUCUGAACCUGAUAAUUCUAAUAAUACUAACAAUUCAACGAUGGAUCUUGAUACGGACAUUGAAAUGGCCGAACCAGCAAAAUCUAAUCAGGAGAGAAAAUUACGAAGAAAAUGUAAGGAUUAGAACAAGGUAUCACUUAACUCCUUACAGAAAACAUACUUUUCACGUUAAUAUAUUAAAUAUUCCGUAAUAGUUAUGUAUUUAUUUUUACAUAAAACUGUAUUCAUUAAUAUUGUAAUACAACUUUUCUAUUAUAUCUA